rnacentral:rRNA from 1 species
GAUGAACGCUGGCGGCGUGCCUAAUACAUGCCAGUCGAGCGAACGGACGAGAAGCUUGCUUUUCUGAUGUUAGCGGCGGACGGGUGAGUAACACGUGGAUAACCUACCUAUAAGACUGGGAUAACUUCGGGAAACCGGAGCUAAUACCGGAUAAUAUUUUGAACCGCAUGGUUCAAAAGUGAAAGACGGUCUUGCUGUCACUUAUAGAUGGAUCCGCGCUGCAUUAGCUAGUUGGUAAGGUAACGGCUUACCAAGGCAACGAUGCAUAGCCGACCUGAGAGGGUGAUCGGCCACACUGGAACUGAGACACGGUCCAGACUCCUUCGGGAGGCAGCAGUAGGGAAUCUUCCGCAAUGGGCGAAAGCCUGACGGAGCAACGCCGCGUGAGUGAUGAAGGUCUUCGGAUCGUAAAACUCUGUUAUUAGGGAAGAACAUAUGUGUAAGUAACUGUGCACAUCUUGACGGUACCUAAUCAGAAAGCCACGGCUAACUACGUG